GCCUCGGAUGCGGCCGAAGCCACCUGUAAGCAGCCCUCUGUGAGUGGCCCAUGAUUCCCUAUGUGCUACCCACUGUGCAUUUGCUUCAAAAUUUGACUUGGCUCUUCUGCACCCAAUGGGCAUAAUAAUGCUCAUCCCAUCACCCUAUAGGUCACAUAACAAGACAAAAAAAAAAAAAGAAAAGAGAAGCAAGGAAGAAGGGAGAAGAAAAGAAGAGGGCCCAAAGCUUCUCUGGCAGAGCUUGACGUCUCUCCCACAUGCAUACCCA
rnacentral:lncRNA from 1 species